AGUCGAACGGUAGCACAGAGAGCUUGCUCUCGGGUGACGAGUGGCGGACGGGUGAGUAAUGUCUGGGAAACUGCCUGAUGGAGGGGGAUAACUACUGGAAACGGUAGCUAAUACCGCAUAACGUCGCAAGACCAAAGAGGGGGACCUUCGGGCCUCUUGCCAUCAGAUGUGCCCAGAUGGGAUUAGCUAGUAGGUGGGGUAACGGCUCACCUAGGCGACGAUCCCUAGCUGGCCUGAGAGGAUGACCAGCCACACUGGAACUGAGACACGGUCCAGACUCCUACGGGAGGCAGCAGUGGGGAAUAUUGCACAAUGGGCGCAAGCCUGAUGCAGCCAUGCCGCGUGUAUGAAGAAGGCCUUCGGGUUGUAAAGUACUUUCAGCGGGGAGGAAGGUGUUGUGGUUAAUAACCGCAGCAAUUGACGUUACCCGCAGAAGAAGCACCGGCUAACUCCGUGCCAGCAGCCGCGGUAAUACGGAGGGUGCAAGCGUUAAUCGGAAUUACUGGGCGUAAAGCGCACGCAGGCGGUCUGUCAAGUCGGAUGUGAAAUCCCCGGGCUCAACCUGGGAACUGCAUUCGAAACUGGCAGGCUAGAGUCUUGUAGAGGGGGGUAGAAUUCCAGGUGUAGCGGUGAAAUGCCUAGAGAUCUGGAGGAAUACCGGUGGCGAACGCGGGCCCCUGGACAAAGACUGACGCUCAGGUGCGAAAGCGUG
rnacentral:rRNA from 1 species